UUCACUCCAACCCCUGUGACAUACCACUUGUUGCCUCGGCGGAUCAGCCCGCUCCCGGUAAAACGGGACGGCCCGCCAGAGGACCCCUAAACUCUGUUUCUAUAUGUAACUUCUGAGUAAAACCAUAAAUAAAUCAAAACUUUCAACAACGGAUCUCUUGGUUCUGGCAUCGAUGAAGAACGCAGCAAAAUGCGAUAAGUAAUGUGAAUUGCAGAAUUCAGUGAAUCAUCGAAUCUUUGAACGCACAUUGCGCCCGCCAGUAUUCUGGCGGGCAUGCCUGUUCGAGCGUCAUUUCAACCCUCAAGCACAGCUUGGUGUUGGGACUCGCGUUAAUUCGCGUUCCCCAAAUUGAUUGGCGGUCACGUCGAGCUUCCAUAGCGUAGUAGUAAAACCCUCGUUACUGGUAAUCGUCGCGGCCACGCCGUUAAACCCCAACUUCUGAAUGUUGACCUCGGAUCAGGUAGGAAUACCCGCUGAACUUAAGCAUAUCAAUAAGCGGAGGA
rnacentral:rRNA from 1 species